rnacentral:rRNA from 1 species
GAUGAACGCUGGCGGCGUGCCUAAUACAUGCAAGUCGAGCGAACAGACGAUGAGCUUGCUCCUCUGACGUUAGCGGCGGACGGGUGAGUAACACGUGGAUAACCUACCUAUAUGACUGGGAUAACUUCGGGAAACCGGAGCUAAUACCGGAUAAUAUAUUGAACCGCAUGGUUCAAUAGUGAAAGACGGCUUUGCUGUCACUUAUAGAUGGAUCCCCGCCGCAUUAGCUAGUUGGUAAGGUAACGGCUUACCAAGGCAACUAUGCGUAGCCGACCUGAGAGAGUGAUCGGCCACACGAGAACUGGGACACGGACCAGACUCCUACGGGAGGCAGCAGUAGGGAAUCUUCCGCAGUGGGCGAAAGCCUGACGGAGCAACGCCGCGUGAGUGAUGGAGGUCUUCGGAUCGUAAAACUCUGUUAUUAGGGAAGAACAAAUGUGUAAGUAACUAUGCACGUCUUGACGGUACCUAAUCAGAAAGCCACGGCUAACUACGUG